AACGAACGCUGGCGGCGCGCCUAAUACAUGCAAGUCGAGCGAGAAGGUGUAGCAAUACACUUGUAAAGCGGCGAACGGGUGAGGAAUACAUGGGUAAUCUACCAUCGAGUGGGGAAUAACCAGCCGAAAGGUUGGCUAAUACCGCGUACGCUUCCGAGUCUUCGGGCUUGGAAGGAAAGCCGCACUGUGAGUGCGGCGCUCUUUGAUGAGCUCAUGUCCUAUCAGCUUGUUGGUAGGGUAACGGCCUACCAAGGCUUUGACGGGUAGCUGGUCUGAGAGGACGAUCAGCCACACUGGCACUGCGACACGGGCCAGACUCCUACGGGAGGCAGCAGUAAGGAUAUUGCGCAAUGGGCGAAAGCCUGACGCAGCGACGCCGCGUGGGGGAUGAAGGUCUUCGGAUUGUAAACCCCUUUCGGGAGGGAGAUGGAGCGAGCAAUCGUUCGGACGGUACCUCCAGAAGCAGCCACGGCCAACUUCGUGCCAGC
rnacentral:rRNA from 1 species